CAAUAACAUUCAAAUCAUAUAGAUAACUCCUUUUCCGUAGGAAGUAAAAUAUAGAUGUAUAAAUAAAUGUGUAAAGAAAGGACAUUCAGGAUAUAAAUGUAAAUAGUCACUCAUGCAGAUUGAGGAAUUAUGAUUAAUACAACGCUUAAUAUUAUUAAAAAUAUAACCGAUAUCAUUAACAAAGGAACAACAACUGAUUGCAGCUCUCACGACAAACCAAGUUAUCUUGGAUAUACCUUUGUAUUUGUGGUUGGAUUUGGUUUUGGUGUGGUGGCACAUAAAAUGUUUUUGAGUAAAGCACCAUUGCCACUUGUACCUACUGUGAUCAACAAUUACAUAGAUAUUUCGGACGACAGUGACAAAUCGGACGAUAGUGACAAAGAGGACGACAGUGACAAAGAGGACGACAGUGAUAAAGAGGACGAAAACAAAAACAAGAAAGACAAACAGGAAGCAGACAACUCCGAGGAAUUAUAGUCAUCAGUAAUGAUCAGAAGAUUACGAAUUCUUAUGAUUUAGAAUAGUGUUAAUAUAAAAAGUAUUCAAACAUUUUAAUAAAUGUCACAUUUGUUAUACCUUCGUUAAAAUAAAAUCGAAAGGAAAUUAA